rnacentral:lncRNA from 1 species
UUCCACAGUCUGCAGAAUAUAAAAUAAAUGUCUUGAAUAAGCUACGAAGACCAAGGCACUUUUCGGAGCAGAUUUUUUUGUCUUAAAGUUUUAUCUCAUGCAAACACUGCGUAUAACACAAACUUAUAUAAUCAAUGCUUUUAGCAAAAUGUCAUAGUAGAACCAAGGCCCAGUUGUUAGCUGAAAUCUAUAUAAAUAUAGGCAGGAGUAGGGCUGAUUGGAGCCAUUGUACAGUGUCGGGAACAUACCAGGACACUGAGAAUAGUGUCAUGUCAUAAGGACCCAGAGCAGAUGGACCCUGCUGUGAUGCACAAAGAGGACCACGCAAGAUAUGAUAAAGAUCUACAUCACUGAAUUUUGGUUCCAUUUUUGUAUCUCAGCUUCCAGGAAAUAAAAAAGAAUUCUAACAUUCAUACUUUCAGUAUUUUAUGUGAGAGGUUUUGUUGUCAAAAUCAAGUCUGAGAGCAAUGUUUGUUGGGGCCUUUAAUUGGAGUCACCAAGCGAUAAAGGGGACAUUGUCCUCAACAAUAACCCUAUAAUAAACACGUUUUGGACAAUAAAUAUAUGACAAUUUCUUAAAAGCAAUUUCUUGGGCAAUCAAGACAGUAUGGCUUGAGUAUGGAGUUAUACGAUGGUUUGGAUUAAUCCAGUAUUAAAUCUUUGGUUAUUACAGAAAUCAAUGGAGCCUAUUCUUCCAAAUAAUCCUUAAAUAUUACUUAUCUCAACUGAGAUUUUGGUGAAAAUUUAGCUUUAGAGCUUUUAUUGACCUGCCAAUGACCUGAAGUUAAGAUUAUUCUUUUCUACUGAAUGAAGACAAACUACCUUAUAAAAAUUAACCCAGA